UCUUUAAACUAAGUUUGUAGCGG
rnacentral:snRNA from 1 species